GCAACGAUAGCUUAAAUAAAAGCAUUGGUCUUGUAAGCCAAAGAUGAAUUCAAAUAUUCUCGUUGUC
rnacentral:tRNA from 1 species